CACAAUCUGGUUGUAGGGCUGGC
rnacentral:piRNA from 1 species